rnacentral:rRNA from 1 species
UCAAUCUCGUGAGGCUAAGCGCCUCCAUUCCCUUUAAGAAGAUAUUAUAUCGCCGGUAGCCGAAGAUACCGGACGCCUAGUUAAUAAGCUAGAGUCUCGUUCGUUAU